rnacentral:rRNA from 1 species
UACGUAGGGUGCAAGCAUUAAUCGGAAUUAUUGGGCGUAAAGGGCGCGUAGGCGGCGCGGUAAGUCGGGUGUGAAAUCUCGGAGCUUAACUCCGAAACUGCAUUCGAUACUGCCGUGCUUGAGGACUGGAGAGGAGACUGGAAUUUACGGUGUAGCGGUGAAAUGCGUAGAUAUCGUAAGGAAGACCAGUGGCGAAGGCGGGUCUCUGGACAGUUCCUGACGCUGAGGCACGAAGGUCAGGGGAGCAAACGGG